CUCAGCAGGAUAUUGAUCAAUUUGAUUUUAGCUAAAUGGGUCCACUAAGCUAAGAAAACAUUAACUAUUAGCCAGACUCAUAAAAGCAAACAUAGCUUUUGGGAUUUUACUUUGUUGAAGUCAUUGAUGAGAACAAUUUCGCACACCUCUUACAUAGGGAAUAAAAAACAAACAACCCAGGUAAGUAAUGCUAAAACUGUCCUAAAGCAGAAUUAGCAAUAGACAGUUUAUAUUCGAUUUAGGUCUUAAGGAUUAAAUCCAGCUGUUUAUUGAAAGAUAAAAAAGAAAACACAAGGAGGGGCUGUUUUAGUUCUCUGGUGUUUUAGAUAUCAAGAUGGUGUCUGUUUGAAUUUUCUCUAAUGUCAUCAUGUGAACUUAGGUUCAUCAUCAGAGUUGCGGUGAAUACACAGGGAGAUACUUUGUUUAUAAUAGUAACAGAGUGAACUUUGAGUUUUGUUUAGCUUUUAUUCCAAUUUUGUUAUGUGCUGUGGGCUAUAUAUAUUUAUUCUUAUACGUUACUUUUUAACUAUCCAGCAAAGUACAAAAAUAGUUUAAAAGUAAACAAAUUAUAAACUUUUCUCAAGUGUUAGAAUCAACAGCAAAAUAAUAAACAAUGUAUCGAAAUGUAGCGCAAAAAUAGACUGGUGUCAGUGCACAUGGAUUUUCUUUAUGCUGACCCAUAGUUCUUGUUUCAUUAUAUUGCUUGACAUUGAAAAUAGAAUAUAUAGCAAAACGCAAAGUGAGUCAUUCUUGUCCUAUCAUAUUAAAGAAGGCUUUACUCAUGCUUUACGUGUAUUUAUUUAUAUGUUAGUUCAUGUUAGAAAAUAGUAUUUCAUUUAGUAAAACAGCUUUUUUGUUUUCAAAAUUUACUGCUACCAAAAUAAGUAUUUUCAUGCAAAUUAAAAGACAUUCCAUGUUUCGAUCAAUGAAAUUGUGUCAGCAUUAUUUUCUUUAAAAUUAAUAAUAAGAGAGCAGGAAGAGGGGAGAGAGGAUAACCCGAAAUUUUAAAGACAUCAUAACAAACCACAAGGCUGAACGUUAAGUAGUCUAUAAAUUUCUCCAGAACCUAAAGAUGACUUAUUUUCCCCCAUAAUAUGCACUUUGCAGUAAUGUAUCUUUUAAUUCUUCUUUUAGCUAUAACAUUGGUGUUGCGUUAUGGAGAUAUUGCUCUCAUUGUUUUCCUUUUUGGAUUAUACACUGUCAUAUACGGAGGUUUAUAGAAGAGUGAAAUACACAGUUUGCAGGUGUUUUUGAGACCUUUUGAGAUCUUUUUAUUUCUCCUGGACUAAAGAACGGUUAGAAGGAAUUUGAGAAUGAAAAGAAAAGACUUGGUUAAAAUAGAAAAAGAAAACCUCAAGAGCAAAAACAGAUUAAAUUGAAGGAUGAGGACAAUGGCACUGGCAGAACGUGGUACCAAGGAAGUGUUAUGAGGUCAUGGUUAUACUAUAUAGGUAAUUCAAGUUCGAGGUUAUAGAAGAGAGCUUUACAAUUUAUAUUUUUCUGAUUGGAAUUUCUCCAUAGACAAAGGAAUUGUUGAGGCUGCUAGCAAUCUGAAUCACAUUUUAAUAGAUUUUUCUAUACCUUGGUAAUUGACUAUUUUCUGAUAAAUUAAUGUGUUUUUAUCAAGGUCGUGUUAAACAACACAUAUAAAAAAAAAUACAUUAGAUGUCGAUGUAGAUGUCGAUUUGCUUAGCAUUGUACAGAGCUGAGCUAAUAAAAAAGAGUUACAAUUAUAACUCAAUUUAAACAUUUGUUUGUAACAGUAUUAUUUAGUAAAUAGCUAUUUUAUGGUUCCCUUUAGAGCUCUCUUACUCCAUGCAGAAGCUAUCACUAAAUGGUGUUGUAUUUUUGGUGUAACUUGACCCGAUAGAGUUAUUAGUAAUGUGUUGCUUGCUAAGAAUCUAGCAGAGUGAUAGGUCACAGAAUAUGCAGAAUAUGACCACGCAUUGCAGCAGGAUCCUUAGACAAUGCGAAAGUUAUCUAGAACAUGUGGAGGUCAUAUACAAUGGCAGAAUACAUAAGACAAGGCUUAAGUAACCCAUAAAUAGCAAAGGAAUAGUUCUCCCAUCUCCUCUAAAAUGCUAAUGAAUACAUUUAUUCUGUGACCUAUUUUACUUUGAGAGAGCAAAAAACAAGGUACAUGAGAAUACUGAAAAUGGACAACAUUUUAAGUAGUUUGCCUUUUGGUUGUUCCCCACUCAGAUCUCAAGCUAGUUUUAGCUCAUCUUGAGUCAUUACAAAGAGAACCUAGGCCAUUUGUAUAUAAGACUGACAUCAUCCAAAAGGGCUGUCCAGAUCCGAAAUACAGGCUGGUUCUGUCUGCACAAGAGAUACAGCAACCCCAGAUGAUCAUUUUGGCCUUGUUACGCCUCAUCAGAAAGGUAUAUAACUUAUAUCCCUCUAGGGCAUCACAAGCAAGUGUCUGGGUUAUCUGAAUUACUUUUUAAACUUAGGGAGAGCAAAAAAACAGCGUGCAUGAGAAUGCUGAAAAUGGAGAACCGCUCAAGAAGAAUGCCUAUCGGUAGGUCUACUGCUUUGAUCUAAAACAGGGGUUCCCAACCCAGUCCUCAAGUACCCCCUACCAGUCCAGGAUUUAGGGAUUUCCUGAAGUGUGUUAGACACAACUGGGUAAUCCCUAAAUCCUGAACUGUUAGAGGGUACUUGAGGACUGUGUUGGGAACCACUGUUCUAGAGUAAUAUCAGCUCACCUGAUGGCGCACAAAGAAGGCCUAAAUGAUCAUUCAGGGUUGCUGUAUCUCUCGUGCAGAGAGAACUUGCUGGAAUUUCAGCUCUUAACUACCCUUAUGGGUGGGAUCAGUCUGAUAUGCAUAUGGUAUAGGUUCAUUUUGUAAUGGCAUAAGUGAGCAAAAAAAAUGUUGAGACCUGAACAGGGACUUAUCGAAGCACAAGCCCGUUUUCAUGCUCUCUGUUUUUGAUGCAAGCUCUUUUCGUUUGUUACUCUUUCCAGAUAUCAUGUAUAAUUUUGUUUGAGAAUACCAUUGAGCAUUUUCAUUCAGAAUUUAACUUGUAUCACUACCUUGGCUGCAAACGUUAAAAAAUGUAUUUAUUUAUUUUUCCUUGUGUAAGGGCUUCUGAUAGUAAUAUCUGUUAAGAUGUUCUGCGUGUGGAGUCGAAAUCUAGUUUUAUUACAAGAUAAUGUCAAAUAAAUUUACAGAUGGUAAUUAGUUUUCUAUUUAUUUAUUUAGAAUAUUUGUAAGUAAAACCUCCAGUGAAUCCUGUUCGAGCACAUUCUGUGUCAUUUUCAAGUUUCACUGUUAUCAAUAUUGUUGUUCAUUACCUCUUCGAACACAAGACUAAACAUUUACGGACUUGAACUGAGUAAAGUGCAUUUAGUUGCAUUAAUGACUUUGUUGUACUUGACUUACAGUAUCAUAGAAUUGUAUAUUUCAAAACACUUUUAAAAGUCCCAAUGGAUGAAGAGAUGGGAAGAUGUUCACAAGGUUGCAUUGUAUCGGAUUUAUUUCCACAGUGAUUUAAAACACAGCUUACUCUUAGAAAAUCUAACUUACAUAAUAUCAGGAUUUAAGAAUUUAAGUCUUAGAAGAAAGAUACAUUUUCUAUAAAAGUCUAAAUUUGAAAAAAUAAUUAGCAUCACCUUUCUGCAUUGGAGCCAAAAACCUAUAAAAAAAGAGAAACAUUUAUACGGCAGUUGUUUUUGGAGAGGGUCUUUUUGUGACAUAUUUGCACAUUUUUAGAUCCUGAAGUUACAGAUAAAAAUGUUAGGAUAUUUCAAAAAAAUUAUAUGGUGAUUGUACAAAUAAUUUCUCUGCAGAGACUCAUUAUAUAGUCAGCCCAUUACCCCAUUACUAAGCAUAAUGAAUAACCAAUACAUUUCCUUAAAUCAGUAAAGCAUGGUUCAAAACAUGCAUGUUACAAAAGUGCCAGGAAAUCUCAAAUGUUCACACAGAAAUACUUUUUUUAAGCUAUGCAUAUGAUCAUUAUAUAUUUAUGUAUUUUUUCUAUUUAAAAAAUUAUAGAGUACAGUACCACACUAGAACAGUGCAUAAAGGCUUUAAAAGCUUAGUACAGUAUAAUUUUGUCAAUAAAAUGUUUUCUUUGGUUCCAUUAAAAAUUGCAAACCUGGAAUAAAUAUAAAGGUUUCUAAAUAUAUUGUGAAAUGUCAAGCAUGUAGAAUUAUUCUCUGAAUUGUAGCCAUUAAUGGAAUUGCUAUGGAUACAGCUAAUAUAUUAAAAAUUAUUUAAUCUUUUUUAAUGUACUCCCCUGUAAAUGUCUUUUUUUUUUUUAAAUCACUGAUCUAUUCACAGGUUUAAACUCUAAUCAUUCCUUUUUCUCUAUGAAUAAAAAGGUGUGGGUAGUUCUAUUUGCAAAUGCUUAUAUGUUAAUUGGUAUGAGAAUGGACAUUUGUUUCGUACCAGUCUUUUUCCUAAAAUUUAAACGAGGUAAACGUGAGCUUAAUGAAAAAUUCAUGAUUAAUGAACCUCUCCUUAUAUAUUUGUUAUUCUCUGUGUUUCAUGAGUUGUCCCCUCUGGACCCCAUGUAAGCCACCCUCAUGUUACAAGAGGUAGGAAACCAACGGGGUGGCUUAAAACAUAUAUUUUUGAGAGUAUGAGUUUUGCAGUAUGAGUGUUUUUGAAAGUGUGUCUGGGGAUGUGUGCAUAGAGUGGCAUUGUUUAUCUUUGUGCGUGUGUGUGUGCUUACCAGAGACUGUAUGUCUCACACAUGGGCGUCCGCAGGAAUUUUUCCGGGGUUGGGGCAUAAUUGUAAUGACAUCCAUGCUUGGUACCUUUUUGACAGUGUCAUGAAAGGGAAGGGGCAUAGUCAUUAUCACAUUAAGCCAGGGUGAAUAGCGGUUUCACAACUAUGGUGUCAGGAAUAUAUGUUUGUAUUCCUGACACUAUAGUGUUCCUUUAAGCAAAUUAAAGGACCAUUCUGGUCACCAUAACAACUUCACCUAAAUGAAAAUGUUAUGAUGCCAGGAAGCCCCUGGGUGCUCUCUUUCCUUUAAAGGGUUAAACUGCUCUCAAAUGGUUUAACCCCAAAAGAUUCCUCCAGCUUCAGGUCGCUCAGUGGUAUUUGGGUUCUGAAACAGAGUGUCAGGAAGUGAGGAUUGACGUCAGGCAUGGGUCAGGCAUGGGCUAGAGUGGACAGUUGACGCUCGAAGCCAAUCGCUAGUUCCCGGUUCAUAAAACAUUUUUACUUAGGAAUGGGGAGCUACUGAUUGGCUUAGAGUGCCAGCUGACCGCUCUAGCCAAUCAGCAACACCCCUACCCAAUGGCACUCUUUGCUUCCUGAUACUCAGUGAAUACAGGGAGUGCAGAAUUAUUAGGCAAGUUGUAUUUUUGAGGAUUAAUUUUAUUAUUGAACAACAACCAUGUUCUCAAUGAACCCAAAAAACUCAUUAAUAUCAAAGCUGAAUAUUUUUGGAAGUAGUUUUUAGUUUGUUUUUAGUUAUAGCUAUGUUAGGGGGAUAUCUGUGUGUGCAGGUGACUAUUACUGUGCAUAAUUAUUAGGCAACUUAACAAAAAACAAAUAUAUACCCAUUUCAAUUAUUUAUUAUUACCAGUGAAACCAAUAUAACAUCUCAACAUUCACAAAUAUACAUUUCUGACAUUCAAAAACAAAACAAAAACAAAUCAGUGACCAAUAUAGCCACCUUUCUUUGCAAGGACACUCAAAAGCCUGCCAUCCAUGGAUUCUGUCAGUGUUUUGAUCUGUUCACCAUCAACAUUGCGUGCAGCAGCAACCACAGCCUCCCAGACACUGUUCAGAGAGGUGUACUGUUUUCCCUCCUUGUAAAUCUCACAUUUGAUGAUGGACCACAGGUUCUCAAUGUGGUUCAGAUCAGGUGAACAAGGAGGCCAUGUCAUUAGAUUUCCUUCUUUUAUACCCUUUCUUGCCAGCCACGCUGUGGAGUACUUGGACGCGUGUGAUGGAGCAUUGUCCUGCAUGAAAAUCAUGUUCUUGAAGGAUGCAGACUUCUUCUGUACCACUGCUUGAAGAAGGUGUCUUCCAGGAACUGGCAGUAGGACUGGGAGUUGAGCUUGACUCCAUCCUCAACCCGAAAAGUCCCCACAAGCUCAUCUUUGAUGAUACCAGCCCAAACCAGUACUCCACCUCCACCUUGCUGGCAUCUGAGUCGGACUGGAGCUCUCUGCCCUUUACCAAUCCAGCCACGGGCCCAUCCAUCUGGCCCAUCAAGACUCACUCUCAUUUCAUCAGUCCAUAAAACCUUAGAAAAAUCAGUCUUGAGAUAUUUCUUGGCCCAGUCUUGACGUUUCAGCUUGUGUGUCUUGUUCAGUGGUGGUCGUCUUUCAGCCUUUCUUACCUUGGCCAUGUCUCUGAGUAUUGCACACCUUGUGCUUUUGGGCACUCCAGUGAUGUUGCAGCUCUGAAAUAUGGCCAAACUGGUGGCAAGUGGCAUCGUGGCAGCUGCACGCUUGACUUUUCUCAGUUCAUGGGCAGUUAUUUUGCGCCUUGGUUUUUCCACACGCUUCUUGCGACCCUGUUGACUAUUUUGAAUGAAACGCUUGAUUGUUCGAUGAUCACGCUUCAGAAGCUUUGCAAUUUAAAGAGUGCUGCAUCCCUCUGCAAGAUAUCUCACUAUUUUUGACUUUUCUGAGCCUGUCAAGUCCUUCUUUUGACCCAUUUUGCCAAAGGAAAGGAAGUUGCCUAAUAAUUAUGCACACCUGAUAUAGGGUGUUGAUGUCAUUAGACCACACCCCUUCUCAUUACAGAGAUGCACAUCACCUAAUAUGCUUAAUUGGUAGUAGGCUUUCGAGCCUAUACAGCUUGGAGUAAGACAACAUGCAUAAAGAGGAUGGUGUGGUCAAAAUACUAAUUUGCCUAAUAAUUCUGCACUCCCUGUAAAAGUGAACACAUUAACACUGAUAUUUUUUUUUUACCUUUGGAGAUGAGAAGGUCCAGAGUUUCCCUGCCAGGCCCAGGUACCAAAGCCUUAUGAUGUGGUGUCUAGAAUAAAGUGGAGGGUUCACUUCAUUUGUCCUUCCUGCUCCAAUCCCCUUUUCCUCUCCUUUAUUUGACAGUCUUCUUUUUCUUCUGACACUGUUUUCUAUCCUUGGCCCCUUCUGCUCAUUUUGCGCCCUUCUGCUCCUUUCUCAUUCUGAUCCCUUUCUGCUCCUUGCAGACCCUUUCUGCUCCUUUUUCUACUUUACCUUUGUGCCCCUUGCUGUCCCUUUCUGCUCCUUCUCCUACUUUACCUUUGUGUUCCUUCUGAUUCUUUCUGCUCCUUUACCUUCCUGCUCCUCGCAGGCCCUUCCUGCUCAUUCUCCUACUUUACUUUGUGCUCCUUCUGCCCCUUACAGCUCAUUUCUGACCCUUUCUGCUCCUUCCACUUUACAUUUGUGCUGCUUUACAUUCCAGCUCCUUGCUGACCCUUCCUGUUCAUUUCUGUUCCUUUGUGCUCCUUCUCCUACUUUACCUUUUGUGUUCCUUGCUGUCCCUUCCAGCUCCUUGCUGCCCCUUUCUGCUCCUUGAUGUCCCUUCCUGCUCAUUUCUGUUCCUUCUUCUUUCUGCUCCUUCUCUUACUUUACCUUCCUGCUCCUUGCUGACUCUUCAUGUAGGCUGUCUCCCCCAUCCCUCACUUCCAUAGGCGUGCGCACGGGGUGUGUCGAGUGUGCCUGGGCACACUCUAACCCCCGCGGCAUGCCAAUGGAUUGGGACCGGCAGGGGAGAUCUCUGGAUCUCCCCGGUCGGCUCAUGCAGAGCCGGCGCUAUCCGAGUGGCGGCUCUGGUCUAAGCCUCCAUGGGCCGGUGGGGAGAUCAAAGAUCUACCUCACCGGUCCACAGCAGCAUGGAGGGAGGCAGCAGAGAUCCCGGGCUAGAGUUCACUCUCCACUGGACCACCAGGGAAAGCAGCAGCACAGUCCCCCCUCCCUACAUGAGGUAAAAAGGGAGGGGGGAUAUUAACUAAUCUGCCCCCACCUCCACCCAAACAUACAGCACACACACACAAACAGCAUACACACAGCACCCACACACACACAGCACACAAACAGCACCCACACACACAAAGCACACACACAGCACCCACACACAUACAACACCCACACACACAGAGCACACUAACAGCAUCCUCACAAACACACAACACUCGCACAGCACCCACACACAAACAGCACACUCACACACAAACAGCACCCUCACAAACACACAACACCCACACACAACACACAAACAGCAUCCUCGCACACAGCGCCCUCACACACAGCACACUAACAGGCCCCUAACAAACACGCACACACAAACACCCUCACACACACACAGCACACUACCAGUUCCCUCACACACAGCACACAAACAGCACCCACACACAGCACACUAACAGCACUCACACACAGCACACUAACAGCACUCACACACAGCACACACAAACACCCUCACCCACAUAGCACGCUACCAGCACCCUCACACACAUCACACUAACAGCACCCUUACACACACACACCGCACCCUUACACACACAGCACCCUCACACAGCACUGUAUGUAUGUGAAUAUAUAUAUAUCUAUAUAUAUAUAGAUAUAUAUAUACACACACAUAUACAUACAUACAUACAUAUAAACGUGGCGUGUGUUUGUGCUUUAGGGUGCUCACCCUAAUGCAAAAGGCUGCGCACGCAUAUGCUCACUUCCCUAAUCUAUAGGAUGCCCCCUCAUGCCUCACUUCCCUAAUCUGUAGGCUGCCCCCCCACAUGCCUCACUACCCUAAUCUAUAGGCUGCCUCCCACAUGCCUCACUCCCCUAAUCUAUGGGCUUCCCCAUGCCUCACUCCCCUAAUCUAUAGGCUGCCCCCCAUGCCUCACUCCCCUAAUCUACAUGCUGCCCCCCACAUGCCUCACUCCUCUAAUCUAUAGGCUGCCCCCCACAUGCCUCACUCCUCUAAUCUAUAGGCUGCCACCUCCACAUGCCUCCACUCCCUAAUCUAUAGGCUGCCCCCACAUGCCUCACUCCCUAAUCUAUAGGCUGCCCCCUAUGCCUCCUCCUAAUCUAUAGGCUGCCCCCUACAUGCCUCACUUGCUAAUCUAUAGGCUUCCCCCAUGUGCCUCACUCCUAAUCUAUAGGCUGUCCCCCCAUGCCUCACUUGCCUAAUCUAUAGGCUGCCCCAUGCCUCACUUGCAUAAUUUAUAAAAUGCCCCCCACGCCUCACUUGCCUAAUCUAUAGGCUGCCACCAUUCCUCACUUCCCUAAUCUAUAGGCUGCCCCCCAUGCCUCACUUGCCUAAUCUAUAGGCUGCCCCCCCAUGCCUCACUUGCCUAAUCUAUAGGCUGCCCCCCCAUGCCUCCCUCCCCUAAUCUAAAGGCUUACCCCAUGCCUCCACUCCCCUAAUCUAUGACACCCCACACAUGCCUCCUCCUAAUCUAUGGGCUGCCCCCCCAUGCCUCCCUAAUCCUAUGAGUUGCCCCAUGCCUCCUUGCCUAAUCUAGGAUUUGCCCCCAUGCCUCACCUCAAUCCUGACACCCCCAUGCCCCACUCCCUAAUCUAUAGGCUGCCUCCAUGCCUCACUCCCCUAAUCCCUGAGGCUGCCCCCCAUGCCUCCUCCCCUAAUCCUAUAGGCUGCCCCCAUGCCUCACUUGCCUAAUCUAUAGGCUGCCAUGCCUCACUCCCCUAAUCUAUGGGCUGCCCCAGCCUCCUCCCCUAAUCAUAGGCUGCCCCAUGCCUCACUCCCCUAAUCUAGGCCCCCACAUGCCGCCUCCCUAAUCUAUAGGUUGCCCCCCAUGCCUCACUCCCCUAAUCUAUAGGCUGCCCCCCAUGCCUCACUCCCCUAAUCUAUAGGCUAAAUAGUUGUCAAUCCAUUAUUACAAAAAAUGAAAUUCAAAUGGAACUUUCAAAAAUGUUACAAUUGUAAAUAUAUUCUCACUUAUCCAGGUAUUGAAUAUAUCAUUGGCUAAAUAAUUAACAUCUAGUAAAACUUUAAGCUGACUUUUGGUCACGCAUAAUCUGACUGACUCCCGGUGCCAGGCACUGUGAUAGCCUUUCAUCUUAUCUAAUGCAAUGUUUACAGACCAAUGUCUACUUUCAACCAUCAAAUUAUUGUUUUUUUUUGCAAGAAACCAACAUAGAUGUUAAAUAAACUGCUGUCUACAAUUCUCUCUUUAUUUCCAAUAUCUAUCCUUUAUAAGGGGAAAAGAAGCUAAACAAAAAGAAACCAAGAUUAAUAUAAAAACUACAGCAUGCUUGAAAUGUCAUUAUAGUAAACAUGUGAAUCAGCAUUUUCUGUCCAUUCACUUCCUAGAAUUACAUAGAGCAGGGCAUCAGCUGGCGAGAGGCGAUAUUGAAUAUUUUUUUCUUUUAUGACUUUUCAGACACUUUGUGAAACAACACAAAGUAUUAGUAAGAUAGCAAGUAAAGUAAAUUCUUCCUGCAUGGAAUCCCCUAGCUUUUGGACAUCUGUUUCUUGAUAAAUGGAAUCUUUACGGUAAACUAAAAUGUUAUCAUGCAUGUUUAAUAACGUACAUAUAUGUAAAAGCGGGUGUAAAUUGUAUGUUGUCCUAUAGUGACUUAGAUGAUUUUGUGCAUAAAAGUUACUUCAAAAAUAUCAAAUUAUUAUUAUUAUUAUUAUUAUUAGAAGGGAUGGAAAUUGGUCAAAUUAAUUAUGAAAAAUGCGUGGUGAGCCCAUCAUGACUGCAAUGUGUACAGCAAAUUCACAUUCACUGAGUGAUUUAAGAAAUAUAUAAAAAUAUAUAUAUCCUUUUUAUAAAUUGGUGAUACAUUAUGUUUUAUUUUGCCAUAGAUCAUACAUCAAUGAAAAUAAUAUGGUAAAAGCUCAAACACAAAUUAUGUAACAUGAAGCCAAUCUCAAAAAAUGGAUAAACACCCUGCUUAUGGGAAUUUAUAACAUGCCUGCUGCCUUUUUAAUUGUUUCCAUGCUUUUUGGCUAAAAGCAGAUGUUAAGCAUUGUUACCAAUAAAGAUGCUUGGAGCUAAACAAAAAAAAAAAUAGGUUUCUGUGGUUCAUCCAUGUCUAAAUGCUACUUUUCUGCAUUCUACUGUGAAACAUUUGUUCCUCCACUGAUUUACAAAGUUUUUAAGGUUUGCAAACUGGAAAAUAUGGUGCAUUCACUAAAUACAAUUCAUAGUAACUCCACCAGCACACUACUUAACUUUGCACUCUUCACCUGUGAGCAAGUUGGCUUUAAGGGUUUAUUCACUAAACAGAAAAUUCUAGUGAACUGAAAAUCAAAUUGUUUUUAAUCUCCUAAUAAUCUCUAUUAGAAACAUGAAAAUCUAAAGAGUUACUCCUAGCACUGUAACUACUCAAGUGAUAUGAAGUUGUGAUGGUGUCUGGAGUCUGCAAGUACAGCAUUUGCACAUAAAGAAAUGAACCAUUCAGCCUGCGGGAGGUAUCGCUUCACCAAGGGUCGGAUUAGGAGCUCAUUGAACUUGGUGCUGACAUUUACGAUGGGCCUAAUUAUAGAAUCUUAUCGACGGAAAACAUUAAAACAGUUAUACCUCCCAAGCAUCAUGUAUCUGGUGGAGGUGGUGUUGGAGGGAAACCCACAGGACAUAGCUAUCAGAAAACACAUACCCUUUGCUAAUCUCUCGCUUUCAUCUUUCAAGUAAAUCCAUACACCCUAAUAGCAGUGUCCAGUGAAGUAGGAUUUCAGUUGGUAAAAGGGUGGGUCACUGAUGUGAAUCACGUAGCCAGAACCGCCAAAAGGGACAAACAUACACAAAAAAUUAGAUGGUCAUCCUGGCAUGAAUGCACGUCAGGCUGCCUGCCAAUCAUGCAGGAUGACCAACCAAAGGCAUAUUGUGCAGGCAGCACCCUGAGCUUAAAAUAAAUUAGGUCCAGGCACUCAGGAUUGCUGCAGGAAGGCAGGUUUAUUUGAACAAAAAGUGCAACGUUUCGACCUACACAGAGGCCUUUAUCAAGCAUGAUAUGCUGAAAAGUUGCACUUUUUGUUCCAAUAAACUUGUCUUCCUGAAGCAAUCCUGAGUGCCUGGACCUAAUUUAUUUUAUCUACUUAAGUGGUUUUUGCCAAACCUGGCCCUGAUAAGCACCUGGAUUCCUAAGUGUGAGUGCAGUAUACUCCGUUUGUGAAUUACUACAGCACCCUGAGCUUAGCAUCAAUGCGUCUAAUGAUGCGCUAGCUUUAUGCUUUCUAAGGACUGUCCCCUAGCACAUUCUGGUCCACUCCUCUCUCUCCUAACCUUCUUACUAGCAGGCAGAAACUCCUGUUAUACAGUUUGGGACAGCGCAAAAGUGUAAGUAAUGAGUGUAGAAGUAAGGGAACAUGCCACAGUGCUAGAGAGACUGUAGUGUGCAAAGUCAGCUUUACCUCAACUAAUUUCAUUGUCAACCAGUCCACCAGUUUGUUCCCCUACAUCCCUCUUACGUUUCCACACUUAAGCAAGAGCAUAUAAAUAAUAGUAAAAAAAAAUAAUAAUAAUGAAUGGGCCUAUACCAUGGUCAUGGGCCUGGAGCUGCAGUUCCACCAGCCCGUAUGUUAAUCCGGUCUUGGCUCCACCUUUUGAAGCAACAUUAAUCAACCCAAAACAAAGCUCUAUGCUGGCUGAUGCCAAUUUUUGGCAUAAUUAGCAUCUGAUGGCAGCAAACAUAGUGGAGCCAGCCAAUGGAGGCAAAGAGCCUCCAUAUUGCUGCCCCUGUCCUCCCCUCUGUCUGUCCUCCCUGACCUACCCCUCCAGUGAGAUGGAGUGAUGUUACCCAAGGAGGAUUGAUCUGAGAGAAGAGCUUGGGCUUGGUAGUGGAACAAUUUAACAGCAACUGCUAAUUACCAGGUGAUAAUAGUGAAAUUAUAUAGCAUGGAAAUGUCUACAAGUUGCUAGAAUUACUGGCAGCCAUUUUGAACAUAUCUGGCUUAUCAAUUACUAACUGUGACAUGUUUAGAAAUAAUUCCAUUGUUGGGAAUGCAAAUUCCUGAAAAGGUCAUCAGAAUGUAAUUGUUAUAUAUGUAUAUAGGCAUCUUAAAGAACUCAAACAACUUAAAAUUAUCUAGCUCAUGAAAGGGUUGGGUUUAAUUCUAAGCAUUGAAGAACAAUGUCGAAUUGCUUUUUCAGUUCAAUGUAUUCUAUUUUUUUUUUUUUACUAAAACCUUGCUUAUGGCCUUUUGUCUUUUCAAGCUGAACAGAAUUUAUCGGACUGCUAGAUGACAAAAUGGAGAAAACAGGAAAUCUCAAUGGCAUUUGUAGGUGGUAUAUUUAUGCAAUGCAUGGAUAUGUGUGCGAGAUCAUGUUCACAGCAGCUUGGGACCUUUGCCACACACACAGCUGGAAACUAAUUGGUGUCAGCAGCAUUUGGGCUUUUUUCAUAUAUGGAACAGCAAUUUUUAUCAUAGAAAAAAUGCUACUUUACCUUUAUUUAAGAUGCAACAUCUUUGUAAGAUGUUUAAUGUAUACUAUAUGGACAUACACAUGGGAGUUUUCAACAGGUUAUAUUCUAAGAAUUUUUGAUGCUUGUCCAUGGGAUUACUCUCAUUUUCCCGGAAAUAUAAUGGGCCUUAUUACCUUGGAGUAUGCAAUCCCAUGGUUCUUUGCCUGUAUGAUAGCAGAACAGGUGGUGAUCAAAAAUACUUUUCUUCUACAAUUUCCUGAGCAAUCAAAUCACAGAAAACACAAGGGAUGUUAACGACCAACCAAACAGUAACGUCAUGGACAUUCUAGACCUAAUUCUUCAGUAAUCCAACCAGUAACUGGUUAUAGCUGCCUUUGUUUGUAUAUUAUAUUAGAAUGAUAUAUUUUCUAUAACUGACUAUAAAUACAAUGUUGAUUUUCAUUCGUGCCUUAUCUGAAUUCAAUCACCUAUGCCAAUGUAAAUAGUUAUUACACUAUUACGACAAAUUUGUUUUUUUUUUAAAUGUCUUUUUAUGUAUAAGCAAUAACAAAUAUCUUGUCAAAGGUGUGCUGAUCACUGGCUCAGGAGCCCUAUAUCUCAUUGAUGGUCUGGUGGGGGAAGGGAUAGCUGUGAUAUGGGGGGGUAAAAUCAAACAGCAAUGAAAAUGGUAAUUUGAUUAAACACAGUGUCCCUGUAUACAGUAAUGAACACAAUAUCAUUUAUAUCAUUUUACAUUAAGAUGUGAAUUUACAUUCAGGUCUUAAUGUAAAUUAUGCGCCAUUUUAUUCCUAUUGGAUAUAUUCACAAAUUUUAUUGGAUUUUUUUUUUCUUCAAUUUUAUGUCUUCUCUGCAGCAAAGAAGAAUUAUGAUCAGGAGAUAUUUUAAAUUUAUGGGGCUCUUUAUAUUUUGAUAUGUUAAGUAUUAAAUAAUAGAUAACUUAAUGCGUAGGAGGAAUUUAAGAAUUUUAUCCUUUAUACCAGGCUUCCCCAAAUUCCGGCCCUCCAGAUGUUGCUGAACUACAACUCCCAUGAUUCUAUGAUUGAAAUAGAUGGACUGAGAAUCAUGGGAGUUGUAGUUCAGCAACAUCUGGAGGGCCGGAGUUGGGGGAAGCCUGCUUUAUACUAUCCUUGAAGAUCGUGCUAGGAUAUGUCUGAUUGCAUAUUCUAAUAGUAUUAAUUCUUUUUUAAAAUGAUUAGAUGUUCUAAUGAGUGUUUAAAAUGUGUGGUGUUUACCUUAAAAUUUGUUGACAGCAUAAUAUGUAC